CUGGUGUCAAGACUGAUGCAAGGACUUCCCUGGUGGUCCAGUGGUUAGGACUCCACGCUUCCACUACAGGACGUGUGGGUUCGAUCCCUGGUCGGGGAACUAAGAUCCCACAUGCUGCGUGGCAAAAAAAAGAAAAAAAGCCUGCUGCCAAUGGGUGGAUUUAGAAGGCACUUGAUUUAAAUGUUAACCUCAGCGAUGGGGCAAAACUCCGGAGGCAUAUGGGUGGGAUGCAUCAAAACUAAACUCGGGACUUUUCGUUCUGAGGGCUCUUUAUGUAGUUUGAGUAGAUGUGAAUAGCUUUCCAGAAGUUCACGGAUGGUAGACUUGCCUUCCUGUCUCGCAAGCAUUUCCUCCAAAGGCACCUAGCACAAGUUUCAAAAAUUUCCUCUCCAAAGACUCUUCCCUUUGGAACUUUCAGGUCACACUUGGAAAAGCAAAUGACAGGCGGUUUGCAUUUCCCUUCCCAGGCACAGUUUUAAAAAAAGAAGAAAGGUUACCAAGUAAUGAAAACCAGCAUUAUUUUGAAAAAUCGGGUCUUGAUCACGUCUCCCAUCCGCCUCUCGUUCUCCGUGUAAACUCCUUGACUUCCUUUUAGUAAAGAGGCCACUGUAAAGAGCAGAGGGGAACAAACAGCACGUCAUUUCGUUAUUUACGUUUCCCGCGUGCAAAGGAAGGGCAGUAAAGCAGGUGGGAGCUCCGAAGCACAGCCAGGAGAGCGUGACGCCCAGCAAGACCGGGCCGUGCUUUCCUCACCACCUCCACGUGGGACUUCUCGGAGACUCACGGGAAUAUAGAGUUUUUAAACGUUUACUAUGAAAUCACUUUAGAUUUACACAAGAUUUGCAAAGACAGUACCGAGAGUUCCCGUCUACCUACACCCAGCUGUCCCCAGAGUUAACAUCUUACACAACCAUAGUCACAUUGGCCACCGUGAAGAAAUCAACACUGGUACAGCGCUGUUAACUACGCUCUGGAUUUUAUCUGGGUUUUACUAGUUCGGGAACUAUAUUUGUUUACGGUUUAUAUUUUUUACUAUAAAAAUAAUGCAUGCUCACUAUUUUAAAAUGUUGAAAGAUUUGACAUUUAUCCUUGUAGACAAGUUGGAAAAUAUAAGAAAGUUUAGAAAAGAAUUGAUAACCCAUAGUUCACCCAGAGACAACCAUCAUUAGCAUCUUAGUGUAUCUCCUUCCAGUCUUUUUUCUGUAAGUCAUUUUCAUUUGUUUGAUGUAAUCAAAUCACUAUUUUUUAAUGCAAUUUUGUUUAAAAAAAAAGCUAUAUUUAAUAGACUAGUUUUUUGGGGGGAGGGGUUUUUUGUUUUUAAUUUUUCUUGGCGUAGAGUUGAUUUACAAUGUUGUGUUAGUUUCAUGUGUACAGCACACUAGUUUUAAAUGCAGAUAUGCAAAGAGAGAUCCAAAGAGCUGCAGUGAUUUUUCUCUCCCUAGUGGUAGAGCACUUCACUUAGGUUAAAGUUCUACAACCCACAGCUGAUCAUCAAGUGACCUUUCUGUUAAGGUGUGUUUCUUUCUUCUCAUUCUGCCCGUGAGGGACCCACAGGGCGGCAUGAGGGGGCCUGGAGACUUGCCUCGGGGCACGUUUCCUUGAGGAUGGGAUGGGGGCUGGAAUGCAGGUCCCCUGCCUUGGCCCGGAGGUCUGUCCAGUGCAUUCUGCUGACUCACAAGAUCCCUCUCACCCAGUUCUUCCUGAUGCAUUUGACUCACUUCCUGUGCUCUCCUUCCUGUUUACUGCCCAAGUGGGAGAAGACACAGGCCCAGACAUCACGGGGAGGGCCCAGGCUCCCAGGACGGCUCAGUCCACAUCCCUCCCUUCCCCUCGGCUGCCCUUUCCUUUCCUGAUCCCGUCUCCCCUCCGCAGUUUUCCAAGGCCACUCGGGUCCUCUGGGGCACGCCAAUGGCAGACUCAGAAUGAGCCCAGACAGAAGUGAAACGUCCCCUGGUCCCGGCUUUGAGCUAGCAGAUGUUGGCCAAGGACCCGGACAGCCCAUAAUUGAGUAGGCUCGCUCCCUCUCGUUUAUUAAACCCCCUCACUUUCCCCAGCUGUAUUGUGCUCCUGUCUGGAGGAUGACAAAUGAGGUCCGUGGUCCUAGAUAAUGAUCAGAGCCCGUGGCCUGGGGCCGUAGCCUCGGCCUCGCCCCCAGAGCACUUCCCUGGGUUUACCUGCAGUCACUGUCUUUCGGAACAGGAUGGGGUUGGCCACAAGGACGAGCAGCAGAGGCAAGUAUGUGGUGACAUAGUGGGGGAUGGCGUGCUCCAGACCCCUCUCACACCUGAGGGAGGAAAGCCGGGUCAUUCUCCAAAAAAACCGGGGCUUUGCCUGAGAUACGCCGACUUAUCUGCAAGUCGAGAUAAGAGGACCAGAUCGAAGGAAACACACAGAUCGACUUCUGACUGUGCCCGAAGGAAACCUGACUCAUAUCUCACGUCUGCGGACAAGCGAUAAAUCACAGAAGAAGGAGGAUCAGUCAUGGUUCUGUGUGUCUCGUAAAUCAGGGAGCUUUUAAAGUUCCCUGCUGGGAAAAGGUGAAGAGGGGAAAAGGCUCUCUGGGGUGGUGGAUCCCCCCCCAACUCCCCCACUGGGUCUCUCAAACAAGUGGGUCUCCCCCUACUUGUCUUUCAAACAAGACAAAGGCGUUCUACGAACCUGCUGGGUUUUCAGCACUUACUACAUAUGUGCUAAGCCUGGCUGACAUCACGCAUAGGAUCCAAGCUCUGUCCUCGACCAACUCAAAAUACCCAAGCCUCACACUGCACAGGAUAUCUGUUGUCAUGGUGACAGGUAAUCAUUUCAGGGGUUCUUUUCGGGGAGGUGGACCCGGAUUUCUACUGAUGGGUCUUGAGAAUCAUCCAUCACCACAGGACACGGUGGGGUGCCACACACAGGUAUGCUACCAAGGCCGGGGCUAUCAGUUAACAAAUACAUAGUGUAGAGGAAAAUGGCAAAGAGGAAGAGAGAAUCCAAAGCAGAGGGGAUGUUGCCCAGGCCCGACCCCAGACGGGGUGGAAAAGCAGAGGAGGAAACAGCUCCUGUGGCCACGGAAGGUGGAGUGAUAAAAAUGCUACUGCUCUCGUUUUCAUAUGUAUGAAGGGCUCACACCAGAGGGGAAAGUGGCUGAAAGUGCAUGGAAACAGGUAAGAAAAAUGCAGUGCCCAUCUUUGUUGCCUUAAGGAUGACAGUACCACCUGAGGAUGGUGCCUUCUUUUUGUUUUUUUGUUUGCGUGUUUUGUUUUUUACCCUGAAAGCCGUAUUUUAUUGGAGUGUGGUUGACUUACAAUGUUGUGUUGCUACCUUCUUUUAUUUUAUUAUUAUUAUUAUUUUUGCUACCUCCUUUUUAACAGAAGCUUUCCUCUUCAGCUGUGAAAGCUAAACUGUGGUCUGGAAGGGCUUGAGGGGAGAAAGGGAAACAAGAGGGGGAAGAGAUGAGAUUCGGGUGCCUGUACUGAACGUAAGGAACAAACGAGAGAGGGUGGGAGCCUGCAGAGCGCCAAGGGCUCUGGGUCGUCGUGGGCUCUGAGGAUGGAUAUGAGGAAGGAUGGAGAUGCUUCAGGGGGGCGGCCUCGUGGAGACCGCGGGGCACCUUGGCGUUCCUGAGUGUCCUUGCAGCAAUGGCUCCCUCGCACUCAGACGCAACGUCCCCAGGAUCUCACAGGUGGAGGCCAGAGAUAAAAACUCCCUUUCCAGUUAAGCGCAUCCCUCUGUAACAGCUGCUAACUCUGUAUUUGUCCUUUUAGGGUUCCUGGAGAGAGUGGGCUGUUUGGAGGGAUCUACACAGAGGCCACAAAGCAACACCAAUGUGGAGACAUCUGAGUGAGUGGCUACAAGAAAUCGAAAAAGAAGGGGCAGAAGCGGUCUACACCACAGGGGGCACCCGGAGAAAUCCUCGAUAUUUCGAUUGUGCCUUCAGCCUUUUAUAAAAAUGAGCUGCACAGAUGUUUCUCGGUGGAGGGGUCAGCUGAAAGGUUGUGAUCAGCUGUGUCUGCCGUACAGAGAUGCAGCACUCAGCGGUGUCUCCAACCUUCCCUCAGGCAACAAACUAGGGCAGAAGCCAGCCGGCUUGCUCUGAAUACCUCAGUCCCGCCGAUCUCCGGAUCACCAGCUGGUUUUGAUUGUGGAUGGAUCUAAGAAGGCGGUGGGCCACACGUCUGUCCCGUUCACAGCUGAGAUGUCGUCCACGAAACUCGGGAACCCUAACCACACCGCAGACCGGACUGUGAUACCUAAGGGAGAAUCAGGUGAUGCUCUGUAUCUGCUCCUAAUGCAAAUCUAAAGGUGACUUGUUGACUGUAAAAAUGAUGGAUGGGGCUUCCCUGGUGGCGCAGUGGUUG